GAUACUGACGCUGAGGUGCGAAAGUGUGGGGAGCAAACAGGAUUAGAUACCCUGGUAGUCCACACCGUAAACGAUGAGAGCUAGUUGUCUGCAGGCAUGCCUGUAGGUGACGCAGCUAACGCAUUAAGCUCUCCGCCUGGGGAGUACGGCCGCAAGGUUAAAACUCAAAUGAAUUGACGGGGGCCCGCACAAGCGGUGGAGCAUGUGGUUUA
rnacentral:rRNA from 1 species